AUGCAGUCGAACGAUUAAACUUUCCUUCGGGAAAGAUAUAAAGUGGCGCACGCCCCUUUAANGACGUAGGUAAUGUGCCUUUGGGUGGGGAAUAACCUUUGGAAACUUAAGCUAAUACCGCAUAAUGCAGCGGCUCCUUCGGGAGACAGUUGUUAAAGAUUUAUCGCCUAAAGAGCAGCCUGCGGCAGAUUAGCUAGUUGGUAAGGUAACGGCUUACCAAGGCUACGAUCUGUAUCCGACCUGAGAGGGUGGUCGGACACACUGACACUGAAUAACGGGUCAGACUCCUACGGGAGGCAGCAGUCGGGAAUUUUGGGCAAUGGGCGAAAGCCUGACCCAGCAACGCCGCGNGAAGGAUGAAGUCUUUCGGGAUGUAAACUUCGUAAGAAUAGGAAGAAUAAAUGACGGUACUAUUUGUAAGGUCCGGCUAACUACGUGCCAGCAGCCGCCGGUAAUACGUAGGGACCAAGCGUUGUUCGGAUUUACUGGGCGNAAAGGGCGCGUAGGCGGCGUGUCNANGUCAAUUGUGAAAUCUCCNGAGCUUAACUCGGAACGGNNCAAUUGAUACUGAUGUGCUAGGGUGCA
rnacentral:rRNA from 1 species